rnacentral:tRNA from 1 species
GCGGUCAUAGCUCAGUUGGUUAGAGCACUAGAUUGUGAAUCUAGGGGUCGCGGGUUCGAGUCCCGUUGGCCGCC